rnacentral:lncRNA from 1 species
AAGGGUUGAGAGGAAUAAGGAAGGUGAGUAAGGGUUUGGGGUUUCUUUUUUUUUUUUUAGUUUUGAGAAUGAAAAUUAUUUAAAUAUCCUUGACCUUAAGACUUAGAAUUCAUCAUAAAUGAGGGUAUUUUUGUCUACUAUAAUCUGGUACGCAUUGUUAAAACGUAUCAACUGAAAAACAGGCGUACGCGUGUUAACAAACCCCAUUGUAUUAAUAUCACAUAUUUAUA